rnacentral:lncRNA from 1 species
AUGGAUGAUGCAGGUAAUGAUCAAGAAAAUGAUUUAGAGGAGGUGAUCAUCGGCCAGGACUUCAGAGGGAGCUACCGUUUCUCUGAAGUUGUUGUGAGUUGGGAGCCUGCUCAGGACAAAGGAGGCCGUGAAGACUUCACCCCUUCUGGCAUCAGAGACAAAAAUAUCCUGCACAGUUGGAAAAGGAAAAAACACGACAUAGAAGCCAACUGCAAUGAAACCAGCAAACCCAAACGCCACCGACUGAGCGUGCUUCGCCUGAGUGGAAAGACUGGAAGAGAAGGACCCUCAUCUCCUGCUCAUGUCUACCUGCAGGAAGAUACACUGGGCAGAAGAGUGGGAAGAUCAGCUCCUUCUCAUAUUUGUUUAGGAGAAAAUAUCAAUGAAAGCCAAGAUUUUACGAGUAUUCUCCUCGAUGAUAGUGGGGAGGAUGGAAGAGAAGAACCGGCUCUGGUUCAUGAAAACAGCAAAGAUCUACAUUUGAACAACCUGGACAACAGCAUUGUACAGUUCACUGUGGGAGCUAACAAUCUGACUGAAGUUCUGCUCCCAAUCACUGGGUCCAGUUUAGAGCCUGUAGACGUUCUUGGCAGUCCAGCCAACACCGACCCAACUGAACCCAUUGUACUGUCCAGUGAUGAGGAGGAGGGAGUGAAACGCUGCGACGUUCCUCAACGCUGCAGCCAAAUGGUCCACACACAGGUAUCUAUAGGAGAUGCUGGAAUGUCCCCAGAAGAAGCAAAGCAACAAGAAGAGGUGUCUGAUAGUGAAGACACAGAGGUUGGCAUGUGUUCCUUUAGCAUAUAA